rnacentral:tRNA from 4 species
AUUAUUUUGGCAGAAUAGUGCGUUAGAUUUAGAAUUUAAAUAUAUAGGUUUCUAUAAAUAAUACUUGAUUUU